UCUCUCACUCCAAUCUACCGUUCCUUCUUCCCUUAACUGUGACUUGAACAACCCACGUUGUUCAAUGGCAGCUUGGGUUGGAGAUGAAAUAUGUGAUGGUGAGCACGGGGAAUAUUAAAACAAAAUAUAACUCUUACAGCACCCACACAUUGACCCUAAGUAAACUCUCCAGAGAUUAUUCUUCAACAUUUUAGGCCACAUUUGGUGAUAUUCUCCAGAACCUUCAAUAUCAUAUUAUUAUUUGCUUGUCCAGCAAUGAUUUGUAAAAUAAUGUACCAAAAGUGGAACACAAUUCUCUAAUAGCGGUUUUAAUCCUUUAAUCCAAGU
rnacentral:lncRNA from 1 species